CAAUAGCGUAUAUUAAAGUUGUUGCGGUUAAAAAGCUCGUAGUUGGAUUUCUUCCAGGGGCAGCCGGUCCACACUACGUGUGCGUAUCUGGUUUGACUUUGGAAUCCUCUUGGGGAACGGCUCUGCGCUUAAUUGCGUGGACCGGUAUUCAAGACUUUUACUUUGAGGAAAUUAGAGUGUUCACGGCAGGCAAUCGCCCUGAAUACAUUAGCAUGGAAUAAUAAUAUAGGGCGUAAGUUCUAUCUUGUUGGUUUCUAGAACAUACGCAAUGAUUAAUAGGGACAAUUGGGGGCAUUCGUAUUAACGCGUCAGAGGUGGAAUUCUUAGAUUGCGUUACGACGAACUACUGCGAAAGCAUUUGCCAAGGAUGUUUUCAUUGAUCAAGAACGAAAGUAUGGGAUCGAAGAUGAUUAGAUACCAU
rnacentral:rRNA from 1 species